GAUGUGAGGGCGAUCUGGCUGUGACAUGUGUCACCCCACUGAUCACCAGAGUUGAUUCGGCUGAUCUGGCUGGCUCAGUGGGUGUCCCCUUCUUCCCUCAGUGCUC
rnacentral:sRNA from 1 species